UUCGCCACACAAACAAGAUUUCAUGUCUCCCCUGUGCGCCCAAAACAACUUUGCUGUUGCCAGAGGCCCCUGUGCUCAACUCGAAGAAAUCAUUUCCGUCGAACCUGCAUUGGUCUUUCUCUCUACACAUCCCCCCCCCCCACACACACACACAAUCUUUCUUCUCCUUCACUCUCUUGUUUUCUGCCAUUUUGCAUACUGGGUGGGAGUAGUUGUGCCUUUGGCUGUCGGUUAUCCACAACGCCAAUUCUCUUCAUCCAUCUCUCUUCCCUUCUGCUCCUUCUUCCUCACGCUAUUCUAAUUUUGAUCAGGGAUUUUUCGAUUAUCCUACCAGACUUGUUCGCAUCAUCACCAGUGUAAAGCUUUUUUUCUCUUACAUUCCCCUUGAUAGAGAUUUCAAGCCGAUGUGUAGACUAUGCUGAAAGACAAUCCCGACGCUCUCUUAUUUCCAAUCACAGAAAUUGUCCAACAGGACAAAGCAAUAAUAAAAAGGCUACAUCUGGUUUGGGUGAAGCAACUAUGAAAUGUUUACUUGAUGAAGGCUUCUACGUCAUUCUAGGGAGGAUGCAUAGAUAAUUCUACUUAAGUUCCUAAUAGUAUAUAAUAAUAGACUUGGUGCUUCUGAUUUUUUUCCCUUUCUUUAGAAACUAACAAACUGGACAAGGACUUAGAGAGAAAAAGAGUGGAUCCCAUAUGAUUUAAUUAACAGGGAAGGCGAAUAUCUUGGAUCAAAUCCAAGCUCUCCUAUUCUGCUGCUUGAGCUUUGAAGACUUGGCUGUUUGGGCUUGCUGAAGGUUUUCCUUUAUGAAGGUUCAUGGAGGAGGAAAAAAUUAACUUGCUGAACAAAAAUUUUGUGCUACGUCUAAAAUCAAAAUUGGCGAGUCAUUUUUAGCUGAUGAUGGUAAAGGUUUCAUUUAAAUCUCAUUAA